UACGGAGGGGGCUAGCGUUGUUCGAAUAUCUGGGCGUAAAGCGCACGUAGGCGGCUUUGUAAAGUUAGAGGUGAAAGCCCGGGGCUCAACUCCGGAACUGCCUUUAAGACUGCAUCGCUUGAAUUGUGGAGAGGUAAGUGGAAUUCCGAGUGUAGAGGUGAAAUGCGUAGAGAUGUGGAGGAACACCGAUGGCGAAGGCAGCCCCCCUGGGGUAACACUGACGCUCAUGCACGAAAGCGUGGGGAGCAAACGAG
rnacentral:rRNA from 1 species